ensembl:lncRNA
AGAGAUAGUCUUUUCCCACCCCAGGCGGUGAACUGGAGGCCAGCACAGAGCUGACAUGGGAGCCAGACAGCAGAGCUGAUGUGGGGGCUGGCACAGAGCUGAUGUGGGGCCAGCACAGAUCCUUCUGGCAGGGACAACUCGCUGGGCCCAUGUCUAGCAGGGGAACAGUCAAAGCUUGCUCACCUUGCUGCAGAAUGACCUGAACAGUGACCUUGGAGACCACCAUCCUGAGGGAGGAAAGUAAGUCAAGCCCGGAAAACGCACACUCCUUGCAUCAGCUGAACAUCUCUCCUUUCAGAAGUCCCUCCCAAUGAGCCAAUGCCAUUCCACAGGAGCUGAAAACCACUGCUGAAGCCAGCUCAGAGCAGACAGCCCAGCCCCACCAGCGCUCAAAGCACUCCUUCAGAACAGCCAUGUUUCCAGCACAGAACAUCCUUUUAUGUCCCACUCUUCCUAAUUUAGUUUUAAUAGAAGCAAGUAGAAUAAGUAGAAUUUCAUUGGAGCUUGGGUAAAUUUUGCACGGCGUACGUUUUGCCAACUUUACCUUUCAAACUGUGUUUCAGAGUGUGGCCAAGCAUUUUGCAAAAUUACUGUGGUGCUUCUUAACUGUCCUGUGAGGCUCUCAUCAGAAGCACAAUAUAUUGUCCUGUAACUAUUGAUCCAAAUGGCUACAUUUCUACAGCAGAAAAUGACUGUGUAGUGAAAGCAGUGCAAAGGUGCAGUAAAAUGCCCUCAAGUAUAUAAAGACAUAAAGAUUAAAGUCACCCGCAGGUUCCCUUUAACUCCUUCAAAUCCACUGCGUAAUGUGUUCUUCGAGGAUAAAUCAGAAAGUUUGUACAAAUGAACAGGACAG